rnacentral:rRNA from 1 species
AGUUUGAUCAUGGCUCAGGAUGAACGCUAGCGGGAGGCUUAAUACAUGCAAGUCGAGCGGUAGGUUUAGCUUCGGUUGGACUGAGAGCGGCGCACGGGUGAGUAACGCGUACGCAACUUACCCCUGAUUGGGGAAUAGCCCCGGGAAACUGGGAUUAAUGCCCCAUGGUUUUACCAUCAGGCAUCUGGCGGUAAAUAAAGUUGAGGCGAUCAGGGAUAGGCGUGCGUCUGAUUAGCUAGUUGGCAGGGUAACGGCCUACCAAGGCGACGAUCAGUAGGGGGCGGGAGAGCGUGAUCCCCCACACGGGUACUGAGACACGGACCCGACUCCUACGGGAGGCAGCAGUAAGGAAUAUUGGACAAUGGGCGGAAGCCUGAUCCAGCCAUCCCGCGUGCAGGAUGAAGGCCCUAUGGGUUGUAAACUGCUUUUAUUGGGGAAGAAAUCUGGUUAUUCAUAAUCAGUUGACGGUACUCAAGGAAUAAGCACCGGCUAACUCCGUGCCAGCAGCCGCGGUAAUACGGAGGGUGCAAGCGUUAUCCGGAAUUACUGGGUUUAAAGGGUGCGUAGGCGGCCUGUCAAGUCAGGGGUGAAAUGUCUUCGCUUAACGAAGAAAUUGCCUUUGAUACUGUCGGGCUUGAAACAGGUUGAGGUUGGCGGAAUGUGGCAUGUAGCGGUGAAAUGCAUAGAUAUGCCAUAGAACACCGAUUGCGAAGGCAGCUGGCUGGACCUGGAUUGACGCUGAGGCACGAAAGCGUGGGGAGCAAACAGGAUU